UAUAUUUAUUACUAUUAUUAUUAGACUGAUUUUCUGUUGAUUUAGACUUGAGUAGCAUAUAUUUUCUUGCUAACUAGCUUCAAUGUUGUUCGGUCCUGUUUAGCAUUCGUCAUAGCUUAGUUGUUAGCUUAUUAGCCACGGUGGAGUCCGUGACAACAGUCAGUAGAUAAUUCUCCUCCCGCUGACAGACAUCUCAUUGUUCGGUAGCGGAGGAUAAAAAGACAAGCAGCAUAAAGGCGCCAGCGUCCAACUCACAGAGCUGACUAAGUAAGGCAGAAGAGGAGGUCCCGAAGGUUAACUCUAGUAAUGCGCUGCCGUGAUAACUGUCUGGUUCCGACCCCGCUGGAACCUCCGUGUUGGCUGGAGACCGACCCUACGCCCUACGCAGCAUGAAACAAACUUUUUUCAAUCUUUAAUUCCAAAUGAGAAAUAUCAAGUCUAUGACAAAUUGUUUACCACAGAAUACCUCUGCACUGGAACCCCUGAGAGGCGAGUCCAUUUUUCGCUUUUUCCUGGGACCAAUUGCUGCCAGGGCUGUUAGGUUGGCUUCUCGCUGCCUGAUUUGCGCCAGCUCCUGCUGUUGCAUCUGGAUUACAAACAAGGAAGCAUGUAGAGACAAAUUCACCGUCAUGCCACGGAAAUAAUGUUACAUAGUUAAGAUGUCAAAUACUGUACAAAACCUCUUUGGCCUUCUGUUUCAGUCUGAGCUGCUCCGGGUCUUCUUGUCGUGACCGAGACUGCAGGAAG